CUUCCAUUUACUUUUUUAAAUCAAUCUUUAUUUAAUAUUGAGUUAAUUUAAAGAAAACAUUAAGGGAAUAGUAGUGCAGGUAGUAUUUAAAUGUGGCAAAUAUUAUGCUGUCAAGUUACAAGUGACUAAAAUUUGGGGAAAAUUGUUUUCAUCUAAUUCUUCUUCUUUUUUUUAAUUGUAGUGGUAGAUGGACAGAAUGUCUUUAUUUAUUUCUGUAAUUUUUUUAAUGUGGUGCUAAGGAUUGGACCCAGUGCCUCACUCAUGCUAGGCAAGUGCUCUGCCACUAAGCUAUAGUCCCAGUCCUUUCAUCUAAGUCUUCAAGCAAAUUUACAAGGUUUGAUCAUAUUCAACCACAUUUUGAUAAAGAAAAAAUUGAGGCUCAACAUGGCUGUUUUUCAGUCUCCCACUUAGUUAUUUACAGAGCCAGGAUUCACAUACAUGUGGCUGACUAAAAGGAUUAUGCCCUUAAUUACUAAACCAUGUCACUUAUCCAUCAGACCCUCUGCAGCACUUUGAGUAAAAGAAGGUAAGUCCCUAAAGGAAAAUACCUGAGCUAUGGGAAGGAGGGCCAACAUAAGUUGGGAUUUGACUGGUAUGUGAAUACAGUAGUCUCCUCUUAUUCCUAUUUUUGCUUUCUGCAGUUUCAGCAGUCAUCAGAGAAUUGGAAAGUGGAAAGUUCCAGAAAUAAACAACUGCACGCUGUUCUCAAUAGUGGAGUAAAAUCUUACACUGUCCUGCUGUCUCCUCAGGAAGUGGAUCAUCCUUUUGUCCAAUGUAUCCAUGCUGUAUAUGCUACUUGCCCUUUACUCACUUAGCCAUCUUGGUUAUCAGUUCCACUGCUGCAAUAUCUCACAGUGCUUGUUUUCAAGUAAACUUUAUUUUACUUGAACAAAGUGCAACAGUAGUGAUGCUAAUAAUUUGGAUGUGUCAAAGAGAGGCCACAGGGAAAUUCCCUGAAGGGAAAAAAGUGAAAGUUCUCUAUUUAAUAAGGAAAGAAAAAGGUUGUAUGCUGAGGAUGCUAAGAUCUAUGGUAAGAACAAAUCUUCUAUUAAAUUGUGAAGAAUGAAGAAGAAUUUCAUGCUAGUUUUGCUAUCAUAACACAAACUGAAAAAGUUAUAGCCAUGGUACAUGAUAAACACUGAGUUGAGAUGGAAAAGACAUUAAAAUUGUGUCUGCAUAUAUAGGAAAAACCAGAAUGUACAGGGUUUGAUACUAUCCAGUUUUCGGCAUUCACUGAAUGGCUUAGAAUGUAUCUCUUGUGGAUACCGGGUGGGGUAGGGGAGAACUAUUGUGCUUAUUUAGUCACCAAUAAAUUUGACCUGAGUGUCUUCUGUCAGUCAAUAAA
rnacentral:lncRNA from 1 species